rnacentral:rRNA from 1 species
UUUAUUUGAGAGUUUGAUCCUGGCUCAGGAUGAACGCUGGCGGCGUGCCUAACACAUGCAAGUUGAGCGAUUUACUUCGGUAAAGAGCGGCGGACGGGUGAGUAACGCGUGGGUAACCUACCCUGUACACACGGAUAACAUACCGAAAGGUAUGCUAAUACGGGAUAACAUAUUUGAGAGGCAUCUCUUAAAUAUCAAAGGUGAGCCAGUACAGGAUGGACCCGCGUCUGAUUAGCUAGUUGGUAAGGUAACGGCUUACCAAGGCGACGAUCAGUAGCCGACCUGAGAGGGUGAUCGGCCACAUUGGAACUGAGACACGGUCCAAACUCCUACGGGAGGCAGCAGUGGGGAAUAUUGCACAAUGGGCGAAAGCCUGAUG